CAUUAAAUCAGUUAUGGUUCCUUAGAUCGUUUCUUUCUACUUGGACAACUGUGGCAAUUCUAGAGCUAAUACAUGCAUUGAGCCUGAAGGCCUUUGGCUGACGGGCGCUUUUAUUAGACCAAGACCCAUCGGGUUCUGCCCGAACACUGUGGUGACUCUGGAUAACUUUGUGCAGAUCGCAUGGCCACGAGCCGGCGACGUUUCUUUCAAGUGUCUGCCUUAUCAACUUUCGAUGGUAGGUUACUUGCCUACCAUGGUUGUUACGGGUAACGGAGAAUCAGGGUUCGAUUCCGGAGAGGGAGCCUGAGAAACGGCUACCACAUCCAAGGAAGGCAGCAGGCGCGCAAAUUACCCACUCCCGGCACGGGGAGGUAGUGACGAAAAAUAACAAUACGGGACUCUUUUGAGGCCCCGUAAUUGAAAUGAGUACACUCUAAAUCCUUUAACGAGGAUCAAUUGGAGGGCAAGUCUGGUGCCAGCAGCCGCGGUAAUUCCAGCUCCAAUAGCGUAUACUAAAGCUGCUGCGGUUAAAAAGCUCGUAGUUGGAUCUCAGUUCCAGACGAGUAGUGCAUCUACCCGAUGCGACGGCUCGGACUGAACAUCAUGCCGGUCCUCUCUUGGUGCCCUUCAUUGGUGCGUCUCGAGGUGGCCCGCGCUUUUACUUUGAAAAAAUUAGAGUGCUCAACGCAGGCGAGUCGCCUGAAUAAACUUGCAUGGAAUAAUAGAACAAGAGCCCGUUUCUGUUCUGUUGGUUUUUGGAAUACGGGCUAAUGAUUAAGAGGGACAGACGGGGGCAUUCGUAUUGCGGCG
rnacentral:rRNA from 1 species